rnacentral:rRNA from 1 species
AUGGAGAGCUCGCCGCCCACAAUCACCGUCCAGGUGAAGUUCGCCGGCCGAACCAUUCCGGUGGAACUCCCGACAUCCGCCUCCACCGCGGAGCUGAAGCUCCUCCUACAGCCGCUAACCAACGUUCUCCCCCGCGGCCAGAAACUCAUCUGCAAAGGAAAAGUUCUUGCCGACGCCGCGAGUCUGAGCUCGAUGCAGGUGGGGGACGGAUCCAAGGUCAUGCUCAUCGCUUCGCAGGGUCUUCAUCAAGGGGAAGGCCCCAUCACUAAGAAUAGCAGUGGUCUUGCACCAAGUGCAAAAAGAACCUCAAAUGUUAAGGAUAAUCAAACACUAAAACCGGAGAUUAUCAGCAAAAGCCGAGCGGAGCGUUGGAAAAUAACAGGUGUCAUUGCUUUAUCUGGUUCCAGCUUGAAGGCUGUGCCUGAGGAAGUCUGGGACUGUGGCUCCUCCAUACGAGUACUAGAUGUCUGUAACAACUCAAUUGAAGCAAUUCCACAGAAAAUUGCUGCAGUUAAAUCAUUAAAUAAAUUGUUGCUAACCGCCAAUGACAUAUCUGAUGGGGGCAUCAGCUGGGAAGGUCUAUCAUGUGUUGAUACAUUAACAGUUUUAUCUUUAAGCCAAAAUCGAUUGGUCACUUUACCUCCGAGUUUGGGCACAUUGACUUUUCUACGUGAACUUCGCAUUGCAAAUAACAUGCUUGGCAGCCUACCUGUUGAAAUAGGUUUGCUGAAGCAGCUAGAGAUUCUUAUAGCAAAUAAUAAUAGGAUAACUUCGCUGCCUUCCUCUAUAGGCGACUGUGAAUCUCUCUUCGAGGUGGACUUAUCAUCGAAUCUUUUAGCCGAACUACCAAAGGCUUGCGGAAACCUUCACAAUCUGAAGGCUCUGCAUCUAAGGAACAAUGGUCUUAAUUCCCUACCGCCGACUUUAUUCAAGAAGUGCUGGCGGCUUACUACACUUGAUCUCCAUGGCACUGGAAUUACAAAUGACAUUCUUCGACAGCUGGAGGGCUGGGAGGAGUUUGAUGAACGUAGGCGGCAGAAGUAUCAAAAGCAGCUGGAUUUUCAUGUAGGAUCAUCAGGUGUUUUCGACGAGGGUGCGGAUGAUGAUAACCGGCAUGCAUAA